rnacentral:lncRNA from 1 species
GCGCAGUGUUCUUCAGGAUAGAGUGUAGGCGUUGAGAGCCAAUGUGACAAUAAGUGUCUAAAUUAGGAAUUCCAUCCAUGAAAGGGGGCUUCAUUUUAUAAUCAGUAACUCAAAAAGAGGUCGUAUUUCUUUCCCUAAUGAAAUCCGGUUACUUUUGCUUCCAUUUAUUUGACAGUGCAUGUCUGCAUUGCUGUGCCCAUCAAGGAUUAGAAAGAGUGAGGAAAUGGCUCUGAUUUCACUUUCAAGCCUGCUCAAGAAAGCCCCCUCAAUAUAAUGUCUUUAUUUUAAUCAUUUUUAGCCUCGGUGUACGGAGUCUCCUUUUAUUCUAAAUAAUCAAAAAUGAAUCACUGAACUCUGUCGCCACCACCACCCUCACCCCACCCCCCGCCAGCCCCCGACUGCAGGGCCACUUCAAACAAUUCUAUUUCUCUAAGAAAUAAAGAAUGGGGUAUUAAGAGCCAGCCACCGAGGCUUCAAGGAUGUUGCAUUUAUUUAUUUAUUUGUUUCCUGCUGAGGAGCAAACCGGCCUUUAGUUUAGAUCUCCUCAAAACUGAUUUUCUGGGUGACACUUUAGUUUAGCCGAACAUAGACGGCGCCAUCACUCCACUGAAUUUUCCCCAACACAAGACCCACUGCCUCCCCUAAUCUUAAUUUCCUUUUAACCUAAAACAUCCCCCCAUAAAAUUACCCCAGUCACACACAACCGUCAGAUUUUCUAGGUCUCGCUGCCGAUUCCUUUCAACCCAGCACAUCUCUUGAAAACCAGACUUCUCUAACUUUUCAACUGCGGCGUUUAAGUAAAUGCAGACAGUCGGGUUUGCUCGCAGCCCCUCCAUCAGCCAGCAACAGCCGUGCCUUUCCUGGUCCUCCCUCAGCAAACAGCUAGCCGAGAGCUCCUCGGUGGCGACCCUGGCAAGAGGGAAGGUGACCCCUGGACCCCCUUCCUUACCUUCCACUCCGAAAGCUCAGGGAGGCUCUUGCUCUAAGACACCAGCACAGGCACGCGUCCCAGCAACAGUGACGGAGAGACUCCCCUUCGGUCCCAAGCACCGUUGCCCAUUUUCCCCGGCUGAGCUUCAAAAAUCAGGAUUGAUUUUUUUUAAACGCACACAUAAGAGGAGCAAAAGAUGGGGUGGGGGUGCGAGUCAAAGAGGGGAGGGGUGGGAGAAAAACCCAGGACCCCGGAGCCUACGCCGUAUCCAAUUGAAUCCAACCUCCAACCGAGGCGAUGGCGGGGGCGGGGAGCCCCCCCCGAAGGCAGACACUAAGGAGACAAAAAAAUGCAAGUGGCUUAAGAGCGAGGAUUUGUUUUUCCGAAUCUACCCCCCCAACAAACCGGUCAGCCAAGAAGCCAAGAAAGCGCUGAGACGAGAAGCGGCGGCGGCUGCUAAGGUACUGAUGGACGGACGGCGACUAAGGAGAGGGGAAAAAAUCCUUGGCUGGUGAUGUCGGAAAGCUGUUUGAAUGCCCAGCGAGGAGGGAGGCGCGGGAGGGCGCGAGAUAGUAAAGCUCUGUAUCGGGUGUGCGCGCGGCGCUCGGUCUCCUCGGGCGCGUGAGGGAGGGGGAGCGCGGUCCCGAGGCGCGCUCCGGGCCCCGC